GAUGAACGCUGGCGGCGUGCCUAAUACAUGCAAGUCGAGCGAACAGACGAGGAGCUUGCUCCUCUGACGUUAGCGGCGGACGGGUGAGUAACACGUGGAUAACCUACCUAUAAGACUGGGAUAACUUCGGGAAACCGGAGCUAAUACCGGAUAAUAUAUUGAACCGCAUGGUUCAAUAGUGAAAGACGGUUUUGCUGUCACUUCUAGAUGGAUCCGCGCUGCAUUAGCUAGUUGGUAAGGUAACGGCUUACCAAGGCAACGAUGCGUAGCCGACCUGAGAGGGUGAUCGGCCACACGGGAACGGAGACACGGUCCAGACUCCUACGGGAGGCAGCAGUAGGGAAUCUUCCGCAAUGGGCGAAAGCCUGACGGAGCAACGCCGCGUGAGUGAUGAAGGUCUUCGGAUCGUAAAACUCUGUUAUGAGGGAAGAACAAAUGUGUAAGGAACUGUGCACUUCUUGACGGUACCUAAUCAGAAAGCCACGGCUAACUACGUG
rnacentral:rRNA from 1 species